UGAAUACGAGACGCUACGGCGUCGAAGCAGUCUAUGUCAUACUUCCAAGAAAAGCUUGCACUGUCAUAAACAAAUAAUGCCUGUACCAUAACCGACACAGGUGGGUAGGUAGAGUAUACUAAGGGGCGCGAGAUAACUCUCUCUAAGGAACUCGGCAAAAUGACUCCGUAACUUCGGGAGAAGGAGUGCCUUAUUUAUAAGGUUGCAAUAACAAGAUCCAAGCAACUGUUUAUCAAAAACACAGGUCUCCGCUAAGUCGUAAGACGAUGUAUGGGGGCUGACGCCUGCCCAGUGCCAGAAGGUUAAAGAAGUUGGUUAGCAUUAGCGAAGCUGAUAACUGAAGCCCUGGUGAACGGCGGCCGUAACGAUAACGGUCCUAAGGUAGCGAAAUUCCUUGUCGGGUAAGUUCCGACCCGCACGAAAGGCGUAAUGAUUUGGAUACUGUCUCGGAGAGGGGCUCGGUGAAAUAGACUUGUCUGUGAAGAUGCGGACUACCUGCACCUGGACAGAAAGACCCUAUGAAGCUUUACUGUAACCUGAAAUUGAAAUUGGACUUUAUUUGCGCAGUAUAGGUGGGAGGCGUUGAGAAUAUUCUUGCGGGAAUAUUGGAGCCAUCAGUGAGAUACCACUCUUGUAAUGUUAGAUUUCUAACUUUGAAUCAUUAUCUGGUCAAAGAACAGUUUCAGGCGGGCAGUUUGACUGGGGCGGUCGCCUCCUAAAUGGUAACGGAGGCGCACAAAGGUUUCCUCUGAACGGGUAGAAAUCGUAUCUAGAGUGUAAAGGCAUAAGGAAGCUUGACUGUGAGACCUACAAGUCGAGCAGGGACGAAAGUCGGUCUUAGUGAUCUGACGGUGCUGAGUGGAAAGGCCGUCACUCAACGGAUAAAAGUUACUCUAGGAUAACAGGCUGAUCUCCCCCAAGAGUUCACAUCGACGGGGAGGUUUGGCACCUCGAUGUCGGCUCAUCGCAUCCUGGGGCGGUAGUACGUCCCAAGGGUUGGGCUGUUCGCCCAUGAAAGCGGUACGCGAGCUGGGUUCAGAACGUCGUGAGACAGUUCGGUCCAUAUCCGGUGUAGGCGUUAGAAUAUUGAGAGGAGCCUUCUUUAGUACGAGAGGACCGAGAAGGACAUACCUCUGGUGUACCAGUUAUCGUGCCAACGGUAAACGCUGGGUAGCUAUGUAUGGAGAGGAUAACCGCUGAAAGCAUCUAAGUGGGAAGCCCACCUCAAGAUAAG
rnacentral:rRNA from 1 species